GCCGAGGUGUUGGUCCUACCGUGUUAACUUCGCACUCCCCCAAAUAUGAAUUCGCCAUUUCUCAAACAAAGCAAUUAAAUGGCAAAAUCACGUAACUUCUGAUUCUCUGCAUUGUUGCUGUUUGUAAACCAUAGGAAAUAAUAUGGAUAAACUUGAUUAUACUACACUAUUCUGGUCAAUACAGGUUGGGGGAGCAUACACUUUGGAGUAUAAGUAUUUGAUUUAGUUAAUUGGAUUAAUUAAUCAAUUCCAUCAUUGUGGGUAUUUUCUUUCGGGAGGAAAUUAAAAAGUUGGAAUUGCAAACUAUUCUUAAAGUAAUGAUUGUUUUUUUUACAGUUCAUCUUAUCACUGUGAACGGUUGAAUCGGGUUUCUAAUUCUCCUAUAAACUGAGGAAGAUUUGGCUACACCUGCUUCUUACAUAGUGCGGGUCAUCACCAAGAAUUGGAACCAUAAACAAAUGCAGCACUUACUGAUUCAUUCCAGUCCGUGUCUCUUUCUGCUUCUUCCAUAGCACUGCUCGACUUUGGAAUUAUCCCAUCUCUUUUCGAAAGUUCAUAUAAUCUUACUCAAAUAAAAAAAAUGUAUUACCUUUCAUUAAUGCUAACUUUUACUUGAACUUAUUUUUGCAUUGAAAAAAGAGGCCGGUACAGAGCACAAGCAAUGAAAAAGGGAGUAGACAUCAACCGAGUAAACUAACAUACACACCGAGUUAACGUGUCAUCAUCAAUAUAAAUCUCGUAGGGCAGCCAACUACCUUAUGUCAUGUCCAUGGAGUGGUGCAUCAAGAGUCUGUCCCCUCCACCGGUCUCCUCGGCCAUGCACACCUUCACGGCAGGUUCAAUAGGGACGGGGACCAUUUAGCCUUAAGUUCCCGUUCCCUGCCCCUAAGCUUAUGGCUAAGUUGCUCUGUUCCUGUAAGGGCUAGGAAGGCGUUUGGCCACAUUUUCCAGGAGGGAGGUUCAUGAUUCGUCCGAUUUGCCAGGAUAGUCUUCCUUACAGUGAGAUGAACGAUUUUUAGUCAUGCGUGCUGGUGUGUUUUGAUGCACCGUUUGGUUUGAGGCCCCAUCGCGUUGAUUUGAUUGAGGGGCUAAGGUUAGUGCCACAGAUGUUAUUUAAAAUAAUUCGUAAUGUCGGAGUAGAAUUUCAGUAUAUCUGGGCAUGACCAAAAGGCAUUAAGGUCUGUCUGAGCCAUGCCUGGAGGGAAUAAAGGGCAGUCUAGGGAAGCUUCUGUGAAUUUCCCCUUUCAUUGGUCAAAUAGGUGCCGUGCAUACAUUUGAAUUGGAUAAGCGUUAUUGGUAGCGAUCUUGGGCCUGACACAGCGGCCUGGCAGAUUUGAAUUAAUUUCUGUUGGAGGAUGGCCCAGGAGCUUAUUCCAGAGUGUUCUAGUGUCACAUGGUACAAGUAACAAGGGAAAAUAUAAUGGGGAGGAUGUGGUCCACCUGUAUAGGGAAAGGGAGUAAUUGAAAAUUAUGAAAGUGUGCAGCAAACAAGGUGUCAAUCACAAUUGAGUGUGCCCAGCUUCCGAUAAAUAUGGACCACCCCACCACACAAAGCCCAAAGUGGGUGGUGAACGUCAUCUAAGGCUAAAAGUGCCUUAAGGGUGUGUGAGUGUUUGGGAACGUGUAGGCUUAGGUGUGAGUGUCGGGAUAAAGGGGUCAUCCUGUAACAUUGUGAGCGCACCGUGUUGUCCCAGAGAUACGCUACUGCGUGACAACUGGCAAGGUGGCUUGUCUAAAAAUUUAAGACAGACCAACCCUAUUGAAUCGCCUCAGGUAAAUGGGCACGACUGUUCUCACUAGACUUGACCCACAAUACACAGGAGUGACUUGGCUUACCGAAAAUAUAAUAGUAACACCGAUAAAGGUGAGCCUGGAACAGCAGGCAAGAGACUAGGUGCCACACCUAAUGCUGCGUAUAAUCCAAAAUCCCUCACUGUCCACAAGACGGUAUGCUUCUAGUCUAUAAUUAAGUUUCGGUGCCUCUAGCCGGUCGAGGAUAGGGGUGUGCAGAGUGAUCAAAGUUCUUGUCUGGGGUUUUGGUGAUGGCAUCCCACUAAUCUGUCGGUUCCUUAAGAAAUGCGACCAGGGGAUGUUAUAACUUGCCUGUACUUGCUCAAAGGAUAACAACCCUACUUAGAUAAGGGGUUGUCAACUUUUUCCACUCCUGCCACUUUCCAGCUGGGCCAUUUGAUGCCCUUACUUACCCCUUAUUCUCAACGAAGUGUUUACCCCAUAGCGGGGAUCAUUACAUCAGCCAUACGAAAGAAGAUGAUAUUACUGGUUUUUAAAAAUCCAAAAAAUGUAUUUUUAUUAUUUUACGAGUGUUUUUAAGUCUGCACGCUCUCCCGUUUUAUGUACGUUAACGAGAACGUACUCAACUUAUUUAUACCCUAUCCCGUUUUACGUACUGUGGCACGUUGCGAUAACAUACUCGAGAUUUACGAACUUUACCAUUUAGACCCAACAUUGUUUACGCUGUUUAGCGACAUUUACGUGCCAGGUGGCGCCGAAGCGUUCGCGUCCCUGACUGAUCCACCAUCCCAUCUCUUUACUUCGAUAAAAUUUCUGGUUUUUAGGGAUGCAUCCUGGGCGUAAAUCGGGGAAUGUCUGUUUGUAAAAGUAUGGUCUUAACUUUGCCGAAGUGCCUUAAACUUUGUGGAUGACAUGUGCUCGACAAUAAAGAUUUAAAAAAUG